AGGAGGAACAGCCCCAGUGGCGGGGCAGCUCUGGAAACCUGGAUUCAGCUCCUGCAGGAACUCCGGAGCUCUCCGUCUGCAGGGCCUGGAGGCUCCAGGGCGGG
rnacentral:pre_miRNA from 1 species